rnacentral:lncRNA from 1 species
CCUUUUACUUUUCCUCUUCAUUAUAGUACUGGUGUGAAAACCUGCAGUGGUAAAGUUAACAUAGCUCUCAAAUUGCGAGUGCUCCAUUGUAAAUGUGCGUUUAACUCUCAUAAGCAGGAGAUUCUAUAACAUAGCUAGUAAAUAUAAGUAACAACUCGUCCGCGACUCCUCCCCCAUUUUUGUUGCUUAUCCAGUAAAUUCCGUUCCAAAUUAUGUACACGUUUUGUUUCAAGUGAAUAAGGUAUUAACAUGAACUUUUGCUCUUAAUAGGCCGACCUUCUGAGACGGCAGACUUUGCAACAAAUGCAUCGAAUCUUGACAACCCGACAAGCUGCCCGUGCUCUUCUUGCCAUUAAUGAUUACAAGUCGAGGCUUCAGGCUCUCAAUUGUUUAUGGUUGGCCCGUCCUGAGGAUUGACUUCAGUUCUUUUACGUGAUCAUGCUAAUCUUUCAGAACCUUUGCAAGCUGACUAUUCCCGCAUAAUAUUAGGUUGCAUUUCUAUAGUUAUUCGCUGGUGGGUUGAUGUUACUGUGCUAUUUGUUUAGUUAAGUAUUAACUGAGACUGGAU